CAGAUCCUUUAAACCAGGAUUUUCACGUGAGGCCUGAACUCCAGUCCAGGUCCUUGCCUGGUGACCUCCAAGGACCAAGUGCACUCACAGAUGUAACCUGGGCCCUUUCAGACCAUCUCAACCCCUGGGAUUCCAGAGCUCUGCACUCAGGGGGCUGGGAUGGAUGAGAAGUCAGGGUUGCCCUGUUCCCAACAACCUUCUAUGGCUCCCCACUGCCUUCAGAAUGAAACCCAAAUGCCUUCCCUGCCUUCUGCAUCCAGUAGACAGUGUGGCAUGAAGCCCAGGGCUGGGAUGGGGGAGUGGGUUUCUCCUGGCCUGCCCUUAGGUAGAGGCAGAUCCUUGGACUUUCUGGAUGUUUCCUCGAUGGGAAGAUGUAGGGCCUGGAUGAGGAGUCUCUGGCUACUGAUCUCAGCUCCCCUCAAAGAUCCCUCUUCUGACCAUGUCUGCUUUAUUACCUUUCUGCCCUCAUAUGACAAACUCCUCUGUGCCCUUUUUACCCUUAGGGACCCAGCUCAAGUGCUUCCAUACCCCUAUCAGCCAGAAAGGAUGUGUGUGUGUCUGAGCCCUCUCACAUUUACAUUCUGCCUGGUGUCAGCUACCCCUGGACGCGUUGGGUGAUAAAUCCCCUCCUGUGUUUAUCAAGUCAUGGUUAUGAGUGGGGACCCUGGAGCUGAGCUAUCUUGGCCCCAUCUUUGCUCCAUCACCUACUAGCUGUGUGACAUUUGGCUGAUUACUUAAUGUCUCUGGGCCUGAGUUUUUUCAUCUGUCAAAUGAGGAUAGUGAUAAUGGUAGCUACUUCCAUGGUUGUCGUGAGAACUAGAUUAAUACACAUGGAGCACUUAGGGUGUAUGUGUGGGUUUCCUGGAUGGCUGGCCUUGCCUUCCCUGGAUGGUGGGAAGGGUCCCCUCAGAAGCAGCCCCUUGAAUGCUCACCCUUUCUUGGCGAGAAAGGCCAUGCGCCUGGCUUCUGCCUUCUCUCUCAGCACUGCAGGGUCCUGCACGAAAUGGUCAGGCUGUGGAAGGGAGAGGAGACCAAAUCUGGAGUCAGGACCUGGCCCUGAAAACACCUGAAUUUGUCAUCCUGAUGUGGGGCAUGAGGGAUCCCAGGCUGCUGCCCCUAUCACCUGAGCAGGCUAGAAUGCAGUGGUAGGAUCUGGGCUCA